rnacentral:rRNA from 1 species
UACGUAGGGUGCAAGCGUUAAUCGGAAUUACUGGGCGUAAAGCGUGCGCAGGCGGUUUUGUAAGUCUGAUGUGAAAUCCCCGGGCUCAACCUGGGAAUUGCGUUGGAGACUGCAAGGCUGGAGUCUGGCAGGGGGGGGUAGAAUUCCACGUGUAGCAGUGAAAUGCGUAGAGAUGUGGAGGAACACCGAUGGCGAAGGCAGCCCCCUGGGUCAAGACUGACGCUCAUGCACGAAAGCGUGGGGAGCAAACAGG